UCAUAGGGUGCAUCAUGAUUAUGUUCAUGG
rnacentral:piRNA from 1 species